GAAAUUAGAUAUUGUUCAGGUGCCAGCAAAGCUUAAUAGGGAACCUCGUGUAAAUCGGGGACGGUCCCGCCGCUGUGAACCUGCCCUUUUUAUUAAGGGAACCCUUUUAGCAUUUAUAUGCCACUGCUUCGACUAUUCGAAAUGGGAAGGCGGCUAAAAGGGCGGGGAAGUCAGAAAACCUGCCUGGACAUAAGUGCAUAA
rnacentral:ncRNA from 2 species